rnacentral:misc_RNA from 1 species
GUAGGUGAACCUGCGGUUGGAUCAUUACUGAUUACUCUCGACAACGUUGAUACCGAAAGGAGUCCGCUGUCGGGAAUUCACCCCUGUGCACUAAACUGUUUUUUGGGUCAUGCAGGUCUCUUCACGGAACCGGUGGCCCAGUUAGUCUAAAGACCUUAUCAAUCGUCUGAACAACUCUAUGAAAAUAGAAACAACUUUUGACAACGGAUCUCUUGGCUCUC